CACACAGUUCUUGUGAGGAGCUAGAAAUUGAACCCAGGGCUUCAUGCAUCCCGAGCAAGCACACUACCAACUGAGCUGCGCACCCUGUUCCAGCACCCCAGAAUGGAACCGCCUUGUGAGCUCUCUUAGAACUGUGAACUGCACCUCCGCCUAAGGUCUGUCUGCACCCUUCCUGCAUCCCUUCCUUUAACUGGGCUCAGCCCCUUUUUGGUGUCGGCUGGUUCUUCCCCCCAUUUGUCGUUUCAAUCUCCUUCACAGACAUUGUGUCUGAUAAAUCCUAUGCAUGUAUGGAAGUCAAAUCCCCAAAUAUCACCAACAAAGGAAAGCAUAUUUAUACUUACCAUUGUAUGAGAGAUCUGCGACCUUAAGAGAGCUGAGGUGGUGCUGCAAAGGAGCAAGAGCAAGGUCUGAGCUUCUUGAGAUUCUAGGAGGGGAAGAUGGAUAUGCUAUCUUAGUAUUUUAAGACUAAUGGAAACACCAAGGAAAGAUGGUUAAACCAGGGUCUGAAGAAUACAGAACAGACGCUGCUGGUUUCUAUUAAAGAGCAAGGUCUCAACAUGCAACCUAUGGUAUGAAGACAACACUGUAGUCUUCACUGGACCGCUGGGAUCACAGAUCCAGAUAUAUAGAGAACUCUGCUCCUUCUGCAGCACCACGUCUGCCUGUAUGCCACCAUGCUUCCUACUAUGCUGACAAUGGACUACUCCUCUGUACUGUAAGCCAGCCACAAUCAAUUGGUUUCCUUUAUAAGAGCUGCCAUGGCCAUGGUGUCUCUCCACAGCAACAGAAACCCUAAGACCUGCCCAGCACUGGGAUUGCGGGCCUGCCCUGCUGGCUUUUCUCAGAGAUGAUGAGGAGUCCGGCUCGGAUCCUCAAGCUUGUGUAACAAGCACAAACCUUUACACACUGGGCCAUCACCCGGUCCCCUGUGAUACCAUUUUGCAAGAAAUUACAACUGGGGGAAAUUGGGCGAAAGGUAUUUGGGAUCACUUUGUACUUCCUUCUUUCUCUUUUUUCUUCUUUUUUUUCUUUGUGAUAAUCUCACAUUUCCCUGUAAAUCUACAGUUAGUUCAAAACAA